CUGGGAUUAGAUGCAGAGCACACCAUUCUUCAGCUAGUCAACAAUGCCCACGCCACGCUCGGCGCCUCGCCUUGGCUGCGCGCCCUCCUGCGCAGGAUCAAAUCCGUCUCGAUUCCCAGGCCCCCCGGCUCCCCGCGCCGCUCGCUGCACCGUCUAGGGAACCGGUGCACGGUGCACCGGCUCCCCGCACCGCUCGCUGCACCGAGUCCAGCGACGCCCGCGCCAUCCCGCGCGUCCACCGCGAUCCCGACGCCGCAGCCGCCCCCGGCUCACCGCGAAUGUUCGCACCCCUCCUUCCUCUAUUCUUACGGCGGCGGCGGCGGAGGAAGACGAGGCGAAGAUGCAAAGGCCCGCCGCCCAGCGCCCAUUUCCAUCAUCGCGGCUGCUCCUCUAGCUCUACUCCUCAUCGCUCUUCCUUGUCGCGGCUUGCGGGAGGCCCGUGUCGUCGACCACGAGGGUUCGGGAGAGAGGGGCAGGCGCGGAGGGAAUGGCGGCGGCUGGAGCGAGGGGUGGCGAAGAGGGCGAGGAGCUGCUCCUCCGUGCCGUGGAUGCCGGGGACGACGUGAGCGGCGGCUUGUGCUUGGGGGAGAGGCCCUGGCGGCUCAACUUCGACCGGUUCCGCCGCCCGGAGGCGGAGCAGGAGAAGCCGGCGCGCGGGCUCCACGACUGCCUCGGCGUGCUAGCUCAAGGCUCUGCUGAUGAUGUUGCAGAAUACUACCAACAACAGUUGGAAAUGCUGGAAGGUUUUAAUGAAAUGGAUACACUGGCAGAUCGUGGUUUCCUUCCUGGAAUGUCUAAGGAAGAGCGAGAGAUGGUUGCCCAAAAAGAGACAUGGGCCAUCCGAUUAUCUAACAUUGCAAACAUGGUUCUUUUUGCGGCAAAAGUUUAUGCCUCAGUAAGGAGUGACUCCCUAGCUAUUGUUGCUUCCACCUUGGAUUCUCUACUCGACUUGUUAUCUGGUUUUAUAUUGUGGUUUACUGCCUUUUCUAUGCAAACACCAAACCCAUACAGAUACCCAAUUGGUAAAAGGCGCAUGCAACCUCUGGGAAUACUAGUUUUCGCUUCUGUCAUGGCUACGCUUGGUCUUCAAAUUAUCAUAGAAUCUACACACUCACUGGUAUCCGAUGGCGAUGAAUUCCGCUUGACAAAAGAGCAGGAAAAGUGGGUUGUCGAUAUUAUGCUCUCAGUGACACUGGUGAAGCUUCUCCUGGUUAUAUAUUGCCGAACAUUCACCAAUGAAAUAGUGAAGGCCUGUGCACAGGAUCACUUUUUUGAUGUCAUCACCAAUGUUAUUGGGCUUGUGGCUGCACUUCUUGCUAAUUAUGUUCAAGGCUGGAUUGACCCAGUUGGAGCUAUCAUUCUCGCGAUCUACACAAUCAGGAUGUGGUCGAUCACGGUGCUGGACAAUGUCCACUCUCUGGUCGGCCAGUCGGCACCACCAGCAUUUCUCCAGAAGCUCACCUACCUAUGCUGGAACCACCACAAGGCCGUGAGGCACAUUGACACGGUGCGGGCGUACACAUUUGGUUCCCACUACUUCGUGGAGGUGGAUAUCGUCCUUCCCUGCGCCAUGCCCCUGCGAGAGGCCCAUGACAUCGGCGAGGCCCUGCAGGAGAAGCUGGAGCGCCUGCCUGAGAUUGAGCGGGCCUUCGUCCACCUCGACUAUGAGUUCACCCACCAGCCCGAGCAUGCUCGGUCGCAUGACACAUAGCUGACUGAAAUCCAACACGGUUCAGAAUGAUCUGAAACUAAUGGGAUCAGAGAAUCCUGUUUUGGGUGCCAAAGCAGAUUGCAUGUGAGUACGUGACAGCAGGCUGUGAUUAUGUUGUGCAUAUUUUAUUUGAUUGCCUGCUGAACUGUAGCAGGCAGUUACUACUGAUCCUCUGAGCCUUGCUCUAUCGUCAUUCCACAGAAGCCUACAGGCCACAGCGAUCAACAAUGGCCAUUCUGCUUGAUAUUUGUCACUCUUGGACGUACUUCUGUUCGUACCUGCAUUAAACUUGACUUGAUUUUUCUAUAGUGCUUUAUAGAAGCCAGAUGAACUGUGGGUCACACCAAAAAAGCUAACAUGGCAUAUAUUUAUGAAAUGUUGACAUUGGAAUUGGAACUGUUUCUUUUGAAAUAUUUUUGGUUCCUAGUACACUACCGAUAUUGAUUAUUUAUUUUUGGUUCAUAGUACACCACCAUUAUGGAUAAUUUUUGCUCCAGGGAGAUGAAUUCUGCUUGACAAAAAGAGCAGGAAAUGUGGGUUGUGGACAUUAUGCUCUGUGACAUGGUGAAGCUUCUCCUGGUCAUAUAUUGCCGCUCAUUCACCAAUGAAAUUGUGAAGGCCUAUGCACAGGAACUGUUUUGACACCAUCACUAAUGUUAUUGGGCUUGUGGCAGCACUUUUUGCCAACUAGGUCCAAGUCCAAGGCUUGAUCGAUCCAGUUGGUGCUAUCAUUGAGACCAAGUGGAGGCUUUUAAAGCGAAUGGAAUUAAUGGAGCUUCUUGACUUGACCAUUAGCCACAUGCAAGUAGCGAAGUGGUUGCAAUUUACAACUUGUCUUCACGCUAGUGCUUGUGGUUGACAUUGCAGAGGCGACCUCAAGGUUUUCAUAACGACUUUGACAAAAUCAGAUGUGGCCUUAAGAACUAUAUGCAUGUGGUGAUCAUGAUAAGCUUCCCUUUUAGGUGGCUUUAAGCCCCUGUACACCAGCCUGAGCACACCUCCAUGCGGUUUGCAGAACUUCAGAGCGAUCUGAGACUAGCGGGAUCAGCACAGCAUGAGAAUCCUGGGAGUAACGUGUUUUGGGUGCCGAGGCAGAUCGAAGCGUGAGUACCUGACAGCAGGCUGGAAUUAUGUUGUGCAUGAUUGCCUGCUGAGCUUUAGCAGGAAGUUACUAAUGGUGGGUAUAAGUCUACUACAGAGAGUCGAUAGGCUUUGUCUACGUAUAUGAAUCUUGUGCCUUAAGUUAUCAUUACUGCCUCUUAUGUGCUUGCAAUUUUAGAUUCGUGUUAGUGUGUACGCCGCUGCUUCUGUCAUCAUUCCAGUGAAGCCUACACUCAACCAGGCCAUUCAGAUUGACACUUGUCACUCGUAUUCCCCUUUGAAAUGUGAGAUCUGGUAGUAACUCCACUAGGAGAUUGACUGA